rnacentral:tRNA from 1 species
GCCGAAGUGGUGGAACUUGGUAGACACGCUAUCUUGAGGGGGUAGUGUCCUACGGGCGUGCGGGUUCAAAUCCCGCCUUCGGCACCA